GGCCAGUAUUUUAAACUUCAUAAAUUUAAGAAAAAGUAUUACUUAACAUGCCAGUUUAUGAUAGUACACACAUGUUUAAACGUCGUUUGCUUUAAAUGGAACAUAUGUGGAUACCUGAAAUUACUACGAUGAGAGCUGACGCAGUGAUGAUCUAAGAAAAGGCACUUAAUGGUUUACAUGGAUGAAAAAGAGGGCGCGGGACGCCAAGAAGGCGCCGUGUUGCCCAACACAAUAGAGGCAUGCGGGCCCCCUGUACAGUUAGAACCGGUUGAUUUGAGUCUUAAACGGCGGCCUCCAACCCCAAGACGUCGUCGACUUGGUAAGUGACUUUUAAAUUGUUAUUUUAUCGUAUUUUAAGUUAUUCAGAUUCCUUUUAAACUGCCUACU